rnacentral:rRNA from 1 species
AGGAAAAGAAACUAACAAGGAUUCCCCUAGUAACUGCGAGUGAAGCGGGAAAAGCUCAAAUUUAAAAUCUGGCAGUCUUUGGCUGUCCGAGUUGUAAUCUAGAGAAGUGUUAUCCGCGCUGGACCGUGUACAAGUCUCCUGGAAUGGAGCGUCAUAGAGGGUGAGAAUCCCGUCUUUGACACGGACUACCAGGGCUUUGUGAUGCGCUCUCAAAGAGUCGAGUUGUUUGGGAAUGCAGCUCAAAAUGGGUGGUAAAUUCCAUCUAAAGCUAAAUAUUGGCGAGAGACCGAUAGCGAACAAGUACCGUGAGGGAAAGAUGAAAAGAACUUUGGAAAGAGAGUUAAACAGUACGUGAAAUUGCUGAAAGGGAAACGCUUGAAGUCAGUCGCGUUAUCCAGGGAUCAGCCUUGCUUUUGCUUGGUGCACUUUCUGGUUGACGGGUCAGCAUCAAUUUUGACUAUUGGAAAAAGAUUAGGGGAAUGUGGCAUCUUUGGAUGUGUUAUAGCCCUUGGUUGCAUACAAUGGUUGGGAUUGAGGAACUCAGCACGCCGCAAGGCCGGGUUUUAACCACGUACGUGCUUAGGAUGCUGGCAUAAUGGCUUUAAUCGACCCGUCUUGAAACACGGACCAAGGAGUCUAACAUACCUGCGAGUGUUUGGGUGGAAAACCCGAGCGCGUAAUGAAAGUGAAAGUUGAGAUCCCUGUCGUGGGGAGCAUCGACGCCCAGACCAGAUCUUUUGUGACGGUUCUGCGGUAGAGCAUGUAUGUUGGGACCCGAAAGAUGGUGAACUAUGCCUGAAUAGGGUGAAGCCAGAGGAAACUCUGGUGGAGGCUCGUAGCGAUUCUGACGUGCAAAUCGAUCGUCAAAUUUGGGUAUAGGGGCGAAAGAC